UGGGCUGCAAAAGAAGUAGGUAGUUUAACCUUCGGGGGGACGCUUACCACUUUGUGGUUCAUGACUGGGGUGAAGUCGUAACAAGGUAGCGCUAGGGGAACCUGGCGCUGGAUCACCUCCUUAAACGAUGAU
rnacentral:rRNA from 1 species